rnacentral:rRNA from 1 species
UACAGAGGUCUCAAGCGUUGUUCGGAUUCAUUGGGCGUAAAGGGUGCGUAGGCGGCGCGGUAAGUCGGGUGUGAAAUCUCGGAGCUUAACUCCGAAACUGCAUUCGAUACUGCCGUGCUUGAGGACUGGAGAGGAGACUGGAAUUUACGGUGUAGCGGUGAAAUGCGUAGAUAUCGUAAGGAAGACCAGUGGCGAAGGCGGGUCUCUGGACGACUCCUGACACUGAGGCACGAAAAGCUAGGGGGAGCAAACCAGG